UCCCUGAUGGUCCAGUGGCUAAGAUUCCAGGCUGCCGGGGCAGGGGUCCCAGGUUCGAUCCCUGGUCAGGGAA
rnacentral:tRNA from 1 species